rnacentral:rRNA from 1 species
AUUGAACGCUGGCGGCAUGCCUUACACAUGCAAGUCGAACGGCAGCACGGGAGCAAUCCUGGUGGCGAGUGGCGAACGGGUGAGUAAAGUAUCGGAACGUGCCCAGUCGUGGGGGAUAACGUAGCGAAAGUUACGCUAAUACCGCAUACGAUCUAUGGAUGAAAGCGGGGGAUCGCAAGACCUCGCGCGAUUGGAGCGGCCGAUAUCAGAUUAGGUAGUUGGUGGGGUAAAGGGUCACCAAGCCGACGAUCUGUAGCCGGGCUGAGAGGACGACCAGUCACACUUGGACUGAGACACGGCCCAGACGCCUACGGGAGGCAUCAGUGGGGAAUUUUGGACAAUGGGCGCAAGCCUGAUCCAGCCAUGCCGCGUGCAGGAUGAAGGCCUUCGGGUUGUAAACUGCUUUUGUACGGAACGAAGAGGUUUGACUUAAUACGUUGGACUCAUGACGGUACCGUAAGAAUAAGCACCGGCUAACUACGUGCCAGCAGCCGCCGUAA